AGUGAAAUUGUUGGGUCAUUUGGUAACUCUAUAUUUAGCUUUCUGAUGAACUGCCAGACUGUUUUACAAAGUGGCUGUGCUUUUUAUAAUCUCACCAGCAAU
rnacentral:pre_miRNA from 1 species